GUACGCACUCCUACGGGAGGCAGCAGUGGGGAAUAUUGCACAAUGGGCGCAAGCCUGAUGCAGCCAUGCCGCGUGUAUGAAGAAGGCCUUCGGGUUGUAAAGUACUUUCAGCAGUGAGGAAGGUGGGUAUGUUAAUAGCAUAUUCAUUUGACGUUAGCUGCAGAAGAAGCACCGGCUAACUCCGUGCCAGCAGCCGCGGUAAUACGGAGGGUGCGAGCGUUAAUCGGAAUUACUGGGCGUAAAGCGCAUGCAGGUGGUUUGUUAAGUCAGAUGUGAAAGCCCGGGGCUCAACCUCGGAAUUGCAUUUGAAACUGGCAAACUAGAGUACUGUAGAGGGGGUAGAAUUUCAGGUGUAGCGGUGAAAUGCGUAGAGAUCUGAAGGAAUACCGGUGGCGAAGGCGGCCCCCUGGACAGAUACUGACACUCAGAUGCGAAAGCGUGGGGAGCAAACAGGAUUAGAUACCCUGGUAG
rnacentral:rRNA from 1 species